rnacentral:rRNA from 1 species
UACGUAGGGUGCGAGCGUUGCCCGGAUUUAUUGGGCGUAAAGGGCGCGUAGGCGGCUCGGCACGUCCGUUGUGAAAUCGCCCGGCUCAACUGGGCGGGGUCAGCGGAUACGGUCGAGCUUGAGCAAGCUAGGGGGCAAUGGAAUUCCCGGUGUAGUGGUGGAAUGCGUAGAUAUCGGGAGGAACACCAGUGGCGAAGGCGGUUCUCUGGGCAUGUCCUGACGCUGAGGAGCGAAAGCGUGGGGAGCGAACAGG